CGUAACGCGUAUGCAAUCUACCUUGUACAGGGGAAUAGCCCAGAGAAAUUUGGAUUAAUGCCCCAUAGUAUAUUUGAGUGGCAUCAUUUAAAUAUUAAAGUUGAGGCGGUACAAGAUGAGCAUGCGUCCCAUUAGCUAGUUGGUAUGGUAACGGCAUACCAAGGCAAUGAUGGGUAGGGGUCCUGAGAGGGAGAUCCCCCACACUGGUACUGAGACACGGACCAGACUCC
rnacentral:rRNA from 1 species